UGGCGCCCGAACAGGGACCUGGAAACGAGGGACUCCGUGAGGAAGAGGGCGCCAAAGGACGGUCGACCGCUAACAAAGACAAAAGGAAUUAAACCGAUCACCGCGGGAACCUGCCGCGUCUGAAUCGAAGGUAAGUGACGCGUCCGAAAUGGGACAAGAAUUAAGCCAACAUCAAAUAUAUGUAGGACAAUUAAAAGAGGCUUUAAAGAUACGAGGAGUAAAGGUUAAAGGUAAUGACUUGUUUAAAUUUUUUGAUUUUGUAAAAGAUACUUGCCCUU
rfam:Macaca mulatta chromosome 15, whole genome shotgun sequence.